UACGUAGGGUGCAAGCGUUGUCCGGAAUUAUUGGGCGUAAAGAGCUCGUAGGCGGUUUGUCGCGUCUGCUGUGAAAACGCGGGGCUCAACUCCGCGCCUGCAGUGGGUACGGGCAGACUAGAGUGCGGUAGGGGAGACUGGAAUUCCUGGUGUAGCGGUGAAAUGCGCAGAUAUCAGGAAGAACACCCGUGGCUAAGGCGGCUCUCUAGUACGGUACUGACGCUGAGACGCGAAAGCGUGGGGAGCGAACAGG
rnacentral:rRNA from 1 species